rnacentral:rRNA from 1 species
UACAGAGGGGGCAAGCGUUGUUCGGAAUUACUGGGCGUAAAGGGCGCGUAGGCGGCCUGUUAAGUCGGACGUGAAAUCCCCGGGCUUAACCCGGGAACUGCGUCCGAUACUGGCAGGCUUGAAUCCGGGAGAGGGAUGCGGAAUUCCAGGUGUAGCGGUGAAAUGCGUAGAUAUCUGGAGGAACACCGGUGGCGAAGGCGGCAUCCUGGACCGGCAUUGACGCUGAGGCGCGAAAGCCAGGGGAGCAAACGGG